rnacentral:rRNA from 1 species
UACGUAGGGGGCGAGCGUUGUCCGGAUUCAUUGGGCGUAAAGAGCUCGUAGGCGGCUUGGUAAGUCGGGUGUGAAACCUCCAGGCUCAACCUGGAGACGCCACUCGAUACUGCCAUGGCUAGAGUCCGGUAGGGGCCCACGGAAUUCCUGGUGUAGCGGUGAAAUGCGCAGAUAUCAGGAAGAACACCCGUGGCUAAGGCGGCUCUCUAGUACGGUACUGACGCUGAGACGCGAAAGCGUGGGGAGCGAACAGG